rnacentral:rRNA from 1 species
UACAGAGAGUGCAAGCGUUAAUCGGAAUUACUGGGCGUAAAGCGCGCGUAGGUGGAUAUUUAAGUCGGAUGUGAAAUCCCUGGGCUUAACCUAGGAAUUGCAUUCGAUACUGGGCAUCUAGAGUAUGGUAGAGGGAAGUGGAAUUUCCGGUGUAGCGGUGAAAUGCGUAGAUAUCGGAAAGAACAUCAGUGGCGAAGGCGGCUUCCUGGACCAAUACUGACACUGAAGCGCGAAAGCGUGGGGAGCAAACAGG